rfam:Anolis carolinensis unplaced genomic scaffold chrTn0009, whole genome shotgun sequence.
UCUUUUAGCCUAAAGAAAUUCUAAAGGCACCAGAUUUCAUUUUAUCUUGGAAGCUAAGCAGAGUCAGCCCUGGUUAGUACUUGAGUAGGAGACCACUAAAAAAUGUCAGGUGUUAUAAGCU